rnacentral:tRNA from 1 species
AUCUUAUAAGUAUUAAAGUACAUUUGACUUCCAAUUAAAAAGCCUUAGUUUAAAUCUAAGAUAAGAUA